UACAGAGGGUGCGAGCGUUAAUCGGAAUUACUGGGCGUAAAGCGCGCGUAGGCGGCUUUGCAAGUCGGGUGUGAAAUCCCCAGGCUUAACCUGGGAACUGCAUUCGAGACUGCAUUGCUAGAGUAUGGGAGAGGGAAGUGGAAUUUCCGGUGUAGCGGUGAAAUGCGUAGAUAUCGGAAGGAACAUCAGUGGCGAAAGCGACUUCCUGGACCAACACUGACACUGAGGAGCGAAAGCCAGGGGAGCAAACGGG
rnacentral:rRNA from 1 species